rnacentral:tRNA from 1 species
AACGUGGCUCAACGGCAGAGCAGCUGAUUUGUAAUCAGCAGGUUGCCGGUUCGAAUCCGGCCGUUG